UACGUAGGGUGCAAGCGUUGUCCGGAAUUAUUGGGCGUAAAGAGCUCGUAGGCGGUGUGUCGCGUCUGCUGUGAAAACUCAGGGCUCAACUCUGAGCUUGCAGUGGGUACGGGCACACUAGAGUGCUGUAGGGGAGACUGGAAUUCCUGGUGUAGCGGUGAAAUGCGCAGAUAUCAGGAGGAACACCGGUGGCGAAGGCGGGUCUCUGGGCAGUUACUGACGCUGAGGAGCGAAAGCAUGGGGAACGAACAGG
rnacentral:rRNA from 1 species